rnacentral:rRNA from 1 species
UCCCGGUGAUCCCGCCCGGACCUGACUGCUAUCGGAUUGGUACUAAGCCAUGCGAGUCGUUGUAGCAAUACAAGGCGGACGGCUCAGUAACACGUAGUCAACCUAACCUAUGGACGUGGAUAACCUCGGGAAACUGAGAAUAAACCGCGAUAGAUCAUUAUGCCUGGAAUGGCUUAUGGUUCAAACAAUUUAUUGCCGUAGGAUGGGACUGCGGCCUAUCAGCUUGUUGGUGAGGUAAUGGCCCACCAAGGCUAUAACAGGUACGGGCUCUGAGAGGAGAAGCCCGGAGAUGGGUACUGAGACACGGACCCAGGCCCUAUGGGGCGCAGCAGGCGAGAAACCUUAGCAAUGUGCGAAAGCACGACUAGGUUAAUCCGAGUGAUUUCUGUUGAAGAAAUCUUUUGUCAGUCGUAAAACCACAGGCGAAUAAGGGGUGGGCAAGUCUGGUGUCAGCCGCCGCGGUAAUACCAGCACCUCGAGUGGUCAGGAGGUUUAUUGGGCCUAAAGCAUCCGUAGCCGGCUACGCAAGUCUCCGGUUAAAUCCAGCUGCUCAACAGAUGGGCUGCCGGAGAUACUACAUAGCUAGGGAGCGGGAGAGGUAGACGGUAUUCUGUGGGUAGGGGUAAAAUCCACUGAUCCAUAGAGGACCACCAGUGGCGAAGGCGGUCUACCAGAACGCGUUCGACGGUGAGGGAUGAAAGCUGGGGGAGCAAACCGGAUUAGAUACCCGGGUAGUCCCAGCUGUAAACGAUGCAAACUCGGUGAUGCAUUGGCUUAUGGCCAAUGCAGUGCCGCAGGGAAGCCGUUAAGUUUGCCGCCUGGGAAGUACGGACGCAAGUCUGAAACUUAAAGGGAUUUGGCGGGGGAGCA